UUAGGAAUCUUCCGCAAUGGGCGAAAGCCUGACGGAGCGAUACCGCUUGAAGGACGAAGCCCUUCGGGGUGUAAACUUCUGAACUCGGGACGAUAAUGACGGUACCGAGGUAAUAGCACCGGCUAACUCCGUGCCAGCAGCCGCGGUAAUACGGAGGGUGCGAGCGUUACCCGGAUUUACUGGGUGUAAAGGGCGUGUAGGCGGUCUCUCAAGUCCGAUGCUAAAGACCGAAG
rnacentral:rRNA from 1 species